UGGGGAAUCUUCCGCAAUGGACGAAAGUCUGACGGAGCAACGCCGCGUGAGUGAAGACGGCCUUCGGGUUGUAAAGCUCUGUGAUUCGGGACGAAAGGCCAUAUGUGAAUAAUAUAUGGAAAUGACGGUACCGAAAAAGCAAGCCACGGCUAACUACGUGCCAGCAGCCGCGGUAAUACGUAGGUGGCAAGCGUUGUCCGGAAUUAUUGGGCGUAAAGCGCGCGCAGGCGGUCACUUAAGUCCAUCUUAGAAGUGCGGGGCUUAACCCCGGCAUGGGAUGGAAACUGGGAGACUGGAGUAUCGGAGAGGAAAGUGGAAUUCCUAGUGUAGCGGUGAAAUGCGUAGAUAUUAGGAAGAACACCGGUGGCGAAGGCGACUUUCUGGACGAAAACUGACGCUGAGGCGCGAAAGCGUGGGGAGCAAACAGG
rnacentral:rRNA from 1 species